UACGUAGGUGGCAAGCGUUGUCCGGAUUUAUUGGGUUUAAAGGGUGCGUAGGCGGCCUUAUAAGUCAGUGCUGAAAUAUCCCGGCUUAACCGGGAGGGUGGCAUUGAUACUGUAGGGCUUGAGUAAAGUUGAGGUUGGCGGAAUUGACGGUGUAGCGGUGAAAUGCUUAGAUAUCGUCAAGAACACCGAUAGUGAAGACAGCUAACUAAGCUUUAACUGACGCUGAGGCACGAAAGUGUGGGGAUCAAACAGGAUUAGAUACCCGGUAGUCC
rnacentral:rRNA from 1 species